GACGCGGUGGCCUAAUGGUUAGCGCGCUGGACUCGAGAUCGAGCGGUCCGGGUUCAAGCCCUGACUGGGGUGACCGUGUUG
rnacentral:tRNA from 1 species